rnacentral:rRNA from 1 species
GACGAACGCUGGCGGCGUGUCUAACACAUGCAAGUGGAGCGACGAACCAGGGCUUGCCCUGGAGCAGAGCCGCGAACGGGUGAGUAACACGUGGGUAACCUGCCCCGAUGACCGGGACAACCCGAGGAAACUCGGGCUAAUACCGGAUGUGAUGUCCACACACAAGUGUGUCCAUCAAAGGAAGCUUCGGCCUCCACAUCGGGAUGGGCCCGCGGCCCAUUAGCUAGUUGGUGGGGAAAGGCCUACCAAGGCAACGAUGGGUAGCUGGUCUGAGAGGACGAUCAGCCACACUGGGACUGAGACACGGCCCAGACUCCUACGGGAGGCAGCAGUGGGGAAUCUUGCGCAAUGCGCGAAAGCGUGACGCAGCAACGCCGCGUGAGGGAAGACGGCCUCGGGUUGUAAACCUCUUUCAGGAGGGACGAAGGUCCGCCCGCGAAUAGCGAGGCGGAUUGACGGUACCUCCAGAAGAAGCCCCGGCUAACUACGUGCCAGCAGCCGCCGCCGU